AUUUCUUUAUCUGAUUCAUUUAAUGGAUCUAUUAGAAUCAAUGAGUGUGUUAGGAGAUUAAGUUUCAAUAUGACUGAAACUGAUGCAAGACGUGUAAGCAUGUUAUCUCCUUGCCGAGAUGAUGUGCCAGAUCCAGAAAUUGUUGCUGCGCCAGUGUCUUAUAAUAAUGAUAAGAAUGAAAGUGAUGAUGAAGAUUCAGAAUAUAUAC